CAACAAAGGUCCCAAAUAUCGAAAAAGGGCUGCCAAUGGUAGAAGAUCGAACUUCAUCAAGGGCUGAAACUCUGAAGAAGGAAAUCAUCAAGAAGAAUAUGAACAACACCUGGCGGCAAAGAAGAAAGAGGAGGAACAAGCACAGCAGGCGACCUUCUGGG